rnacentral:rRNA from 1 species
UGGGGAAUCUUGCGCAAUGGGGGGAACCCUGACGCAGCGACGCCGCGUGCGGGACGGGGGCCUUCGGGUCGUAAACCGCUUUCAGCAGGGAAGAGUCAAGACUGUACCUGCAGAAGAAGCCCCGGCUAACUACGUGCCAGCAGCCGCGGUAAUACGUAGGGGGCGAGCGUUAUCCGGAUUCAUUGGGCGUAAAGCGCGCGUAGGCGGCCCGGCAGGCCGGGGGUCGAAGCGGGGGGCUCAACCCCCCGAAGCCCCCGGAACCUCCGCGGCUUGGGUCCGGUAGGGGAGGGUGGAACACCCGGUGUAGCGGUGGAAUGCGCAGAUAUCGGGUGGAACACCGGUGGCGAAGGCGGCCCUCUGGGCCGAGACCGACGCUGAGGCGCGAAAGCUGGGGGAGCGAACAGG